GCUUUCAUUCUCAAAUUGUUUUAAUUCGCCUGACAAACAUUUAUGGAGCAGGCAAAGAGCUGGGCUGGCGGAGACAGGAGUUGGGAGUUGUCAGUGUAGUCCUAGGGGCAAAUCCAGCCAGCUCCUUGCCACUGAGAGAAUUUCCCACGCCACAUGCCUGCACACAGAGGCUCAUUGGAAUCUGCUUUAACUCUUUUCUUCCUACUAAAAUGACUUUCUUCUCAGGAACAGAGAUGUGUUUACUCCUUUUCAUAGCUUGCACAGAGGAAAGCACUCAGUUAGGCACACAUGAGGCGCUCAGUAGGCAUUGGACUUGGUGCAGAGGAGCUCCUGAAUGCUUUUGGACCAUUUUCUGCCCAUCUUCACCUCUUCCUACAUUGAUGCUAACUCCAGCCCUCCCCAAGGAGGCUCAGGCCAGGGAUUCCAAUUUCCAAAGCAGCCAUGAUGUCCCAGUUAGAGCCAGCAGAGGAACUGUGGAUGUUGCAAACAGAAGUGCGGUGGGGCUCCCAUGCAGAGUGGGGAACCAGCCCUGAAACUAAGAGAUCAACUUCUUGGCAGGACAUUUCUGAAGAAGACUCGUACCAGGGAGCAAUAAUAGAAAGAAUGACAGGGAACAGUCCUGGGACUCUGUGUUUCCAGAGACUUGGGGAUGUGAGGGCCACUCGGAGAGAUAUGCCACACAAGGAACUCCGGGGAAGGUGCACCCUGUGAAUGCUUUUGAGGGAAGCUUCAGUCUGUAGUCAG